rnacentral:tRNA from 1 species
GCCGGGGUGGCCGAGCGGUUAAGGCGCGGGCCUUGAGAGCCCGUGGGCCUCUGCGCCCGCGUGGGUUCGAAUCCCACCCCCGGCGCCA